rnacentral:rRNA from 1 species
UGGGGAAUUUUGGACAAUGGGCGCAAGCCUGAUCCAGCCAUGCCGCGUGCGGGAAGAAGGCCUUCGGGUUGUAAACCGCUUUUGUCAGGGAAGAAAUCUUCUGAGUUAAUACCUCGGGAGGAUGACGGUACCUGAAGAAUAAGCACCGGCUAACUACGUGCCAGCAGCCGCGGUAAUACGUAGGGUGCAAGCGUUAAUCGGAAUACUGGGCGUAAAGCGUGCGCAGGCGGUUUUGUAAGACAGAGGUGAAAUCCCCGGGCUCAACCUGGGAACUGCCUUUGUGACUGCAAGGCUUGAGUGCGGCAGAGGGGGGAUGGAAUUCCGCGUGUAGCAGUGAAAUGCGUAGAUAUGCGGAGGAACACCGAUGGCGAAGGCAAUCCCCUGGGCCUGCACUGACGCUCAUGCACGAAAGCGUGGGGAGCAAACAGAUUAGAUACCCUGGUAGUCCACGCCCUAAACGAUGUCAACUGGUUGUUGGGAAGGUUCCUUCUCAGUAACGUAGCUAACGCGUGAAGUUG